UAAAAUUUAACUUGCAUGAUUAUAUAGAGUUAUUUUAUGGAUUGUCCAACUAAAAAUCAUAUGACGAUAGCACAAAAACGUUUUUUCUGUUUAUAUUUAAUGAUUUUACAAGUCUUGAGUCAUCAAACAGGUAGAACCAAGCGUUAGGAUUACAAACCAAACGGGACUCAAGUGCAGCAACGUAGAAAGAAGAAGCAAAAUGCCAAAAUGUCUCUGAGGGGAGGGCAUUGUGCAACGCUGCAAAUGUUGCACGCGCCAUAUCUAAGUCAGUAGACAUGCUUUGGCAUGAUGCGAAUUCGAAAAGGCUAUGAUGCAUUGAGUGUCAUGACGACACUUUUGAUAUUUGAAGUAGGAGAUGCUCGUGUAAGAGCGAUGCAGAGCUUUGAUCUCCCUGAUGUUAUUGUCAUCCUUCUUCUGUAUACCUUACUAUUCUUGCUCAAUCAGGACCUGUAUUAAUCUUUCUUCAUCAAUUUGAAGGUUGAUUUCUUGGCUAAGGUACGUUGUUUCAGCAUGCAUGGCUGUUUAGAUCAAGUUUUCCCGUUUUAUGAUUAAUUUUUUAGAUUAACAUUCUUGUUUCUACAUUUUAUCUCCAGAAUGAAUUGAUUAUCGAUCAAUUUAUCAAUGAAUUGUCUGAAAAACAAUCCUAGAUUGAAUGAUUAAUUGCUAUUGAUUCAAACUUCGUUCAUUAGUCCCUAAAUUACUAAGUAGCAAGAGGUUAGAUUAACCACCGAUGAACAUCGUUUUACACAAGCCAAGCGAAAAUCACAUCAAGAUUGUACUCAAGCAUUAUCAAUUAGAAUUUGAUUCUAUAACAUAAUCCCUAAAAGUUUAUAUAUGCAAUUUGUGUUAUCCAGUGGUUACCAUUUGCUCAUCUACUGAUCAUGUUGGAUAAUUAUAUAAGUUAAUUAAGAUAGCCGGUUAGUAUAAUUAUUACUAAUCAGUUUGGUUGAGCAUAGACAAUAUUGCAAUCUAUAUCAGUUGGAUGAUGAAUUAAGCUGAUUAGGAAAAAGUUCGAAAUGAACCCAAACUGUACCUUUAUAAUCAUGAUUUCACAACUCUCUCUUGCUUUCUUUUUGCCUACAAUUUUACCUCUUACAUAAUUUAUUUUCUUGCUUCUGCUAAUUCUUGCGAACACCAAACAAAACCAUCUUUUGGUUACCUCAGAGACUGUAAGCAUUAGAAAAUACAACGGUUUUUGUGGUUCGACCUGUACUACAUAAAUAUAUAUACGAUGCAUAAUUAAGAUAGACACGCAAAUUUAUUUGAUUAUUCAUCAGAGGAUUCAACACCCCCUUGGGUGUGAGUUAUCAUACGACUCUGAAAUAUUCCUCCAUUCUUGAUCAUGAACCACACUUAAACUCUUGAGUCUUUGUUUGCAUGUUUUCAAAUGAAGAAACUGUAAAACAAUAUUCGUAUAUCUUGCAAUGAUGUAAUACAAUAUUUUUCUGUUUUUACAAGUAAAAUCAUCAUUCCAGUUUACCAAAAUUGGUACAUCUUGCAACAAUGUCAGUACGUCGCAAAAUAAAAAGUAGAAAGAGUUCAAUGACAAUGGUAGCAUUUUGGUUUGUGGUCAAAGAAUUCAAGCCACAUGUUAAGUUCUUAGAAAGCUUCAACAGAAUUGGAGGAUCUCAUGUGACUUUACCAAUAAGCUAAGAUCAAUGAAGGUAAAAAAACAGACCAUGGAGAGAGGUUGGCAAUUAUGGCUAGGAGAAGAAAGUGAUGAAGGUAAUGAAUAUCCAAAAAAUUCACUAUAAAAAAAUUAUAAAGAAGUAGCUGCAACUUAAUUUCAAGUAUGGAGGAGACGCUUCAAACUUCAAAGCUGGCUAAAUGUUUCAAAGUUUGAUAUGAAAACUAAUUAUUUUCAUACUCAUCUUUGUUUUCCCAAAAUGAAUUUAGAUGAAGGAUCGGUUCACAGAGUUCUAAAGAAAUUAAAGUGAAGCUUGGUGUUGUUGCACAUGAGGACGCUGAGGGAUGUUAAAAUUUCUAUUAGAAUUUGAUAGUUUGAUGGACAAAAUUUAUUUACAAACAUAGUAAAAUAUUUACAAAUGAAUAACAUCUUGUUUUAUUUUAAAAUAUUUUUAACGAUUUUAUCAUUUCAACAACAAUGACGUCAACUCUUUUCGAUUAAAAACGAAUUUUUCAUCUAUUCAAAUAAAAACGGAACAAAGUAAUUUAUAGUUUUUUAAGUUUAAUUUGGUGGUGUUUUUAUAUCUAAGCUGUGUCAACUUUUUUGGAAAGAAAAUAACAGAAUGAGUAAGAAGAAUUAUCAAUGGUUGGUGGAGUCCAAUUAUAAUUCUAUGAUGAUUUUCUUCAUAAAUAAUGUUCAAAUUUUCAAUUCAUAACAUUUCUUGUUUUAAUUAUUAUUUAUUGACAUUGGACUAUGGCAAUUAUUGAUGUAGACAAAUUGCAACUUGUAUUCAUACAUAAAAAAAAAAAACAAAAACAAAUAGUAAUGUCAACAUCAUUUUCUAUUUCUUAAUCAUCUUACUCUAUUUUAUUUAUAUAUCUUGAAAUUUAUGCAUAAUUUCGAAACCAAAUUCAAAACUUGUAUGCAUAUUAUUGUAAGUCUCUUCCGAGUUUAGGAUUCAAAAUUUGGGUUCUACACAUUUAAUUAUUCUAUUAUUUCUCGUGUGAUCCAGUUAUGUUAUCUUUGUUUGUUUUGUAGAUCUUUUUUAAGAUGAAAUUUGUCUCCACAAACUAGUAGAGGUUUUUACUCGAAGCAUUACAUGUCUAUCAACUUUUGCUUAUUCAUUUCUAAAUUACGCGUCUUAUUCGAAGAGACUCUACUUUGAUACCAUAUUUAUAACAUCCUAUAUAAUUCAAGGAUUUAGGCCAUAAUUCAAAUUUUUAAUUCUUUGCCUUGGAGACCUUUAAUAGAAGAAGCUUAAGCAUAGUUGACUUUAGAGUUCUUAUAGUUUUGAUAUUGAAAAAAGUGAACCAGUACACUUUACAUUGAUGUAUAGUAACUUUUAAUUGUUUAAUGUCUCUUUAACCAUAUUUUUAUAUCUUUAGAAUCACUCUCAUUAAAAUAUGAUCUUAGUUCAUUCAUAUUUUCCUAUUGAACUUUGUUAUACGUCUCUUUGUGUGCAUCAAUCUUCUAUUUCUAAACAUGAAGAUUGCAAACUUGGAUUCAUUUUUAAAAACAAAAGUAGCUGACUUUGUCAUUUGUUUUUUUUUUAAAAAAAAUAUUGAAGAUCUACCUAUAAAUCCAAAAAUAAAUGUUUAUAGGAUCAUAAGAUAUAAAAUAUACUUUUAGCUUGAAUAGAUCAAGUUAGUUUUUUAAAAAUUUAAAUUCUUUUUUAUCAAUUAUACUUUUUUUCUUCAUAAUUUUAACAAUAAGUUUCUUAUUCGUGAAUCAAUACCAAAUACACAUAUUUUUUUUAAAAAAAUAAUUUUCAAAAAAUAAAAAAUUUGCAUAAACAAGCCAUACAUUUUACAUUUUUGAUCUUCUUUGCCCUAUUAUUUCACACAUUUCAAGCAAAACACACUAUAGUAAUUCAUUUCAUGAUGUAAAGGCUUAAUUGUUUCCUUAAUUUUAUAUGACAAACAACAAUAUUUACCUUUUCUACUAAGGUUAUUUCUAUCCAUUAUCUCUAUACUUUUUUACUAUCAAAUGCAAAAUAAAAAGAGAUCAAUGAGGAGAGACUUUUUUUUUUAAUAAAUAAAUAAUUAUCAAAUUCUAAGGAUGAUUUGAUUUGUAGAAAAAAUAAGUGCUUUAAUUACUAUCAAUUAGUAGCUAAGAUUUAACGCGAUAUUAAAAUUUAUCUACAAAGUUUAUUGUCUUGCUUAUUUGCAACCUAAUGUACUUUUUAACUUAUGAUAGAUGUUAAAUCCUCAUCAUCCUAUCAAAAUUGUGGCUUUAUGGAAAAUAAAGGUAUGUUGGAUAUAUACAUACAUAUAUAAUUAAAAUUACCUUUAUGUAAAACAAAAUGUACUAAAAAAAUAUUCAUAUUCUUUUAACAUUGAAUUACAAAAGUUUAGUUUACGAACUUUUGAUUUAAACUUUUUUGUCUACUUAUAUAUGCUCUUGCUCUUGUAAUUUGUUGAGGUAAGACCCAAUGAAGAAUAGAGCCCUAAAUAGAGAAAAGGGGAAAUCAUACCUUCGAGUGUAGAGUCGACCAAAUUCGAAUGAGAAAUUAUCGAAAUGAGUUGAUUGUAGAUAUGUUGAAACCUUGAAGGCUGGCUUAUUUAAACACUAUUAUAUAUAUAUUACAAAACUGACUUUUAGAGAAAUGGCCUUAUUCUUAAAUCACAAGUUGAUAAAAAAAAAAAAGCACAAAUACCUCAUAGUACAGUGGUAACUUUAAGUAAUAUAGUGUACUUAGCUUUGCAUCACACUCUUGAAGAUACUCUGUCACAAGUCAGGUCCAA
rnacentral:lncRNA from 1 species